GCUUACGGUCACACUACCCUAAGAAUACACAAUCUCGUCUGAUCUCGGAUGCUUAGCAGGGUUUGGCCUGGUAAGUACUUGGAUGGGAGACCAACUGGGAAUACCAGGUGCUGUAAGCU
rnacentral:rRNA from 1 species